rnacentral:rRNA from 1 species
UACGUAGGUGGCAAGCGUUGUCCGGAAUUAUUGGGCGUAAAGAGCGCGCAGGUGGUUGAUUAAGUCUGAUGUGAAAGCCCACGGCUUAACCGUGGAGGGUCAUUUGAAACUGGUCGACUUGAGUGCAGAAGAGGGAAGUGGAAUUCCAUGUGUAGCGGUGAAAUGCGUAGAGAUAUGGAGGAACACCAGUGGCGAAGGCGGCUUCCUGGUCUGUAACUGACACUGAGGCGCGAAAGCGUGGGGAGCAAACAGGAUUAGAUA